rnacentral:rRNA from 1 species
CCUACGGGUGGCAGCAGUGAGGAAUAUUGGUCAAUGGACGAGAGUCUGAACCAGCCAAGUAGCGUGAAGGAUGAAGGCUUUCGGGAUGUAAACUUCUUUUCUCAGGGACGAAGAAAGUGACGGUACCUGAGGAAUAAGCCACUGCUAACUACGUGCCAGCAGCCGCGGUAAUACGUAGGUGGCAAGCGUUAUCCGGAUUUAUUGGGUGUAAAGGGCGUGUAGGCGGGAGCGCAAGUCUGAUGUGAAAAGUCAGGGCUCAACCCUGGGCCUGCUUUUGAAACUGUGUUUCUUGAGUGCUGGAGAGGCAAUCGGAAUUCCGUGUGUAGCGGUGAAAUGCGUAGAUAUACGGAGGAACACCAGUGGCGAAGGCGGAUUGCUGGACAGUAACUGACGCUGAGGCGCGAAAGCGUGGGGAGCAAACAGGAUUAGAUACCCGGGUAGUC